CCUACGGGAGGCAGCAGUGGGGAAUAUUGGUCAAUGGGCGCAAGCCUGACCCAGCAACGCCGCGUGAAGGAAGAAGGCUUUCGGGUUGUAAACUUCUUUUGACAGGGAAGAGCAGAAGACGGUACCUGUCGAAUAAGCCACGGCUAACUACGUGCCAGCAGCCGCGGGAAUACGUAGGUGGCAAGAGUUGUCCGGAUUGCCUGGGUUUACAGGGGGCGCAGACGGCGAUGCAAGCCAGGAGUGAAAGCCCGGUGCCCAACCCCGGGACUGCUCUUGGAACUGCGUGGCUGGAGUGAAGGAGGGGCAGGCGGAAUUCGUGGUGUAGCGGUGAAAUGCGUAGAUAUCAGGAGGAACACCGGUGGCGAAGGCGGCCUGCUGGACUGCAACUGACGUUGAGGCCCGAAAGCGUGGGGAGCAAACAGGAUUAGAUACCCGUGUAGUC
rnacentral:rRNA from 1 species